rnacentral:snoRNA from 1 species
UUGCUUUCUAUUCUGCACUACUGGGCAUAAGAAACUACGCUCAUGCAGAAGUGAAGGGAACCAGGUUUGCUAAAGUAACUGUGGUGAUAGAAAUGUAUUAGCCUCAGAAGCUACUGAAGUGGUUCAUUCUAUCCUAGUACAGUG